GACGAACGCUGGCGGCGUGCUUAACACAUGCAAGUCGAGCGGAGCGGCGAACGGGUGAGUAACGCGUGAGUAACUGCCCCCCUCUCUGGGAUAACAGUUGGAAACGGCUGCUAAUACCGGAUAGUGGGGGCUGACUCGCGUCCUAUCGGCUUGUUGGGGGGGUAGUGGCCUACCAAGGGGAGGACGGGUAGCCGGCCUGAGAGGGGGACCGGCCCCAUUGGGCUGAGAGACGGCCCAAACUGCUACGGGAGGCAGCAGUCGGGAAUAUUGCGCAAUGAGGCAAACCCUGAUGCAGCAACGCGCGUGCGGAAUGACGUCCUUCGGGUUGUAAACCGCUUUCAGCCAUGACGCGGUAGUGGCAGAAGAAGCACCGGCUAACUACGUGCCAGCAGCCGCGGUAAUUC
rnacentral:rRNA from 1 species